rnacentral:lncRNA from 1 species
CUAUUAAAUUGUGUGCUCAUUAAUUAAAACGAGGUUCCUCUCUUUGCAUUUUGUAUCUCUAAACACCCAUCAGAUUGUGUGCACUGAGUAUGUACUCCUCACGCUGUGUGAGUUCAGCCGGAAGUCAGCGCCGCCCAGGGUGGGGAGAAGGAGAGAGCAGCGAAGGGAGCUCACAGGGCUGGAGGUAGCCGUGUGAGCGCACAAAUCCACUUUCAGUUUAAACUCCAAACGCAGACAGGGGACAAAAGAGCCUUAAAACUUCUCAUCACACGAUCCAGAGAGAAGGCAGCUCUCAGAACAAAGAAUGGAAGGUCCCCACAGAGCGAAUUCAGACUUGUGUGCGGCCUCAAGAGAAACGGGGAGCUGCCUCAGUCCAAAGCCGGAGUUCACGAGCAGAUUGGAGGAAGAGAGAAUAAAUACGAAGACGUCUGAGGUGGAGAGGGAGAGGAUCAGAAAAAGAAAUAGGCCUCAGACAUCAUAUGGAAGAGACAAAGAGAGAGAGAGAGAGAGAGAGAGAGAGUUUUGUGUGUGGUGAGAAUGGAGUAUUGAUAUUAAUUCUAAACCAGUGAGGCUUGCAGAAAUAACAGGCAGUUAAGAAUAUGUUCAGCAUUUAUGGAAGAGCUGGAGCUUUAAUCUGUUCAAAAUGAGCAAAGGAUGAUUAGCACUUGUUCUCCUGUAACCUUAAUUCUGCUCUUGAACCUGAUUUGGACAGAGAAGUUCUUUUACAUUUCCCCUUAUUGCUGUGCUUGUCUUUUGAGAAAAGCUAUUGGAGUUAUCAGUUUCUAAAACCUUUGUCACAAUUCCUUGACCCAAAUCCAUCAUCUUUCAUUAGUUAACAAACUUUGCUUUCUUUGCAUGCUGGGAGAAGGAUAUGUUGUUAUAAAAUCACCCAUGGUGUGUAAUCUGUGUAAUCAAAAAAAAAAAAAAAGAAAAAAGAAAAAGGAACAGCAAUGAUGUUUGACAACUGAAUAUAACUGCAGUAAACAUUUUAAGUGCACUACAGUGAACAUUUUAGGUGAACUAUCUUAACUUGGGAUGUUUAAAGAAACCAGGAUGGUUGCUCAAAGGCCUCCGCUCAUACGCUGGAUCCUCCCAUCUCUCACCUUCUCAAACACAUCACUUCUGCAUUUGUGUCCGCUUCCCCUACAUCUUCAUAUGCUUCCUCUUUUCCAAAACAUGGCACAAAUAUUCCAGAAUAUCACCCAACUUUAUAAAAACAGCCUUAUCUUGAUUCCACCUUUCCUUCAUGCUCCAUCUUUCUGAAUCUCUUUAGAGCAGAACCUCCCCAAAGAGUUCUCCCUAUUUGUCAUCUCUACUGUCUCUUUUCCUAUUCUCUUUCUACUUCUCUCUCCUUUUCUAACUCUCUCUGUCUCUUAUUGAGAUGAAUCUGAAUCAUCCCCAACUGCUUAGGCAGUC